AUUGAACGCUGGCGGCAUGCUUUACACAUGCAAGUCGAACGGUAGCAGGCCGCAAGGUGCUGACGAGUGGCGCACGGGUGAGUAAUGCAUCGGAACGUGCCCAGUCGUGGGGGAUAACUACUCGAAAGAGUAGCUAAUACCGCAUACGAUCUAUGGAUGAAAGCGGGGGACCGUAAGGCCUCGCGCGAUUGGAGCGGCCGAUGUCAGAUUAGGUAGUUGGUGGGGUAAAGGCUCACCAAGCCAACGAUCUGUAGCUGGUCUGAGAGGACGACCAGCCACACUGGGACUGAGACACGGCCCAGACUCCUACGGGAGGCAGCAGUGGGGAAUUUUGGACAAUGGGCGCAAGCCUGAUCCAGCAAUGCCGCGUGCAGGAAGAAGGCCUUCGGGUUGUAAACUGCUUUUGUACGGAACGAAACGGCUCUGGUUAAUACCCGGGGCUAAUGACGGUACCGUAAGAAUAAGCACCGGCUAACUACGUG
rnacentral:rRNA from 1 species